ACGCUCGACACCUACGGGAGGCAGCAGUCGGGAAUAUUGCGCAAUGGAGGAAACUCUGACGCAGUGACGCCGCGUGCAGGAAGAAGGUUUUCGGAUUGUAAACUGCUUUAGACAGGGAAGAAAGAAAUGACAGUACCUGUAGAAUAAGCUCCGGCUAACUACGUGUCAGCAGCCGCGGUAAUCUGAGCGGGCUGGCAAGGC
rnacentral:rRNA from 1 species